GACGAACGCUGGCGGCGUGCUUAACACAUGCAAGUCGAGCGGAAAGGCCCUGCUUUUGUGGGGUGCUCGUUUGGCGAACGCGUGUGUAACACGUGAGUAUCCUGCCCUUGUCUUUGGGAUAACUUCUGGAAACUGGGGCGAAUACCGGAUAGGAUAUCCUGCUCCAUAGUGUUGGUUGGAAAGUUUCGGCUGUUGGGGAUGGACUCGCUGCUUAUGAGCUUGUUGGUGGGGUAGUGGCUUACCAAGGCUUUGACGGGUAGCCGGCCUGAGAGGGUGACCGGCAACAUUGGGACUGAGAUAGGGACCAGACUGCUAUGGGAGGCAGUAGGGGGGAAUAUUGCACAAUAGGCCGAAGCCUGAUGCAGAAACGCCGCGUGCGGGAUGCCGGCUUGCGGGUUGAAAACAGCUUUGGACUGAGAUGAAGAGUGAGUGACGGUAAUGGGUAAAGAAGCAACGGCUAACUACGUG
rnacentral:rRNA from 1 species